GUGCUUGCUUCAGCAGCAUAUAUACUAAAAUUGUAACAAUACAGAGAAGAUUAGCGUGGCCCCUGCGUGAGAUGACAUGCAAAUUCGUGAAGCAUUCCAUAUUUUU
rnacentral:snRNA from 1 species